rnacentral:rRNA from 1 species
UACAGAGGAUGCAAGCGUUAUCCGGAAUGAUUGGGCGUAAAGCGUCUGUAGGUGGCUUUUUAAGUCCGCCGUCAAAUCCCAGGGCUCAACUCUGGACAGGCGGUGGAAACUACCAAGCUGGAGUACGGUAGGGGCAGAGGGAAUUUCCGGUGGAGCGGUGAAAUGCGUAGAUAUCAGGAGGAACACCGGUGGUGUAGACGGCUUUCUGGACCGUAACUGACGCUGAGACACGAAAGCGUGGGUAGCAAACAGG